rnacentral:rRNA from 1 species
UACAGAGGAUGCAAGCGUUAUCCGGAAUGAUUGGGCGUAAAGCGUCUGUAGGUGGCUUUUUAAGUUCGCCGUCAAAUCCCAGGGCUCAACCCUGGACAGGCGGUGGAAACUACCAAGCUGGAGUACGGUAGGGGCAGAGGGAAUUUCCGGUGGAGCGGUGAAAUGCGUAGAUAUCGGAAGGAACACCAGUGGCGAAAGCGGCUUCCUGGUCCAGCACCGACGUUCAGGCACGAAAGCGUGGGGAGCAAACAGG